GACGAACGCUGGCGGCGUGCUUAACACAUGCAAGUCGAACGGAAAGGCCUCUUUCGGGGGGUACUCGAGUGGCGAACGGGUGAGUAACACGUGAGUAACCUGCCCUUGACUUUGGGAUAAAUUCAGGAAACUGGGGCUAAUACCGGAUAGGAGCUCCUGCUGCAUGGGGGGGGUUGGAAAGUUUCGGCGGUUGGGGAUGGACUCGCGGCUUAUCAGCUUGUUGGUGGGGUAGUGGCUUACCAAGGCUUUGACGGGUAGCCGGCCUGAGAGGGUGACCGGCCACAUUGGGACUGAGAUACGGCCCAGACUCCUACGGGAGGCAGCAGUGGGGAAUAUUGCACAAUGGGUGGAAGCCUGAUGCAGCAACGCCGUGUGCGGGAUGACGGCCUUCGGGUUGUAAACCGCUUUCGCUCAUGACGAAGCUUUGUGUGACGGUAGUGGGUAAAGAAGCACCGGCUAACUACGUG
rnacentral:rRNA from 1 species